rnacentral:lncRNA from 1 species
GUCCGCACACGCCGUGUCUGUCGCGCCAACGUCCGUCAGCAAGGACCAGAGUGGGUGCAGUGAGUCGGCAUAUUGGUGUUGGGUCUGAGCCUGCGUGCUCCCGUGCGUAAGUGGCUGUCUUAAGUACUAGCGUAGCCGAAAGAGACGGUAUGCAUUUUGUAAGGAAAACUUAGUAUCCUGGAAUAGAACUCCUCUGGUUCUCCUAUUCUUCUCCUCCUCCUUCCAGGUUGCUAACAGAGUGGUAUCAAAGACACCUUUCCUUGGCCGUCCGCCAUGGCUUCUCCACCCAUCGAUUCAGCCCUCACGCUCGCCCUCGAACACCAAACCCGCUCCCUGUUGUCCGAGUUGGACAAACGGUUGUCCGCCAUGGAUGUCAAGUGGGAAUCCCGUGUCGGAGAGCUUGAAUCUCAGGUCUCUGCAUCCAGCCGCCGCCUGGAUUCCGUCACCACCGACCUCCGUGCGGAUGUGGAGAUCCAGUUCUCCUCAGCCGCCGAUCACCUCCACCAGAUCGAAGCUGACGUCAAAACUCGCGUCGCCGCCCUCCAAUCGACUAUGCACGUCUUCGAGCUGUGGCGCCCUCGCGUGGAGGCAUCGGUCGAGUCCCUCCACUCCUCCGUCGAUUCGAUCCGCGCCGAGGUCUCCAAGAUGGGGAUCCGCUGGUCCACCGACGCCCGUGUGGAUGGAUCUGGACAACCCGGUCUCCUCGGUGCGCACGGGUCUGGAUCCGGAAGGGUCCCUGCUCCUGAAGAACCUCCAGAUCGCCCACGUUUUGGGUCCUGCUUCGAGAAUUACUACCGGGAUAGUGGGCACGUGCACCCCGGUGCCGACGCUCACUACCCGGUCACGGGUAUGUGGAGCUCCCCUCACUCGCCCUCAUUUUCAUUCAACGCUCAUUGUGGCCAUAGUCAGGGUGAUUGGGGUCAGCGUGGCCCACUUAGCCGUCACUGUGGGGGGUUACCUAAAUUAAAUUUCCCUACGUUUGAUGGUACCUACCCUAAGCUCUGGCAAAAGCGUUGCGAAGAUUACUUUGAGAUGUAUGCUACUGAGACUUUUGUCUGGGUUAAGGUCUCCACCAUGCACUUUGUGGGUGCUGCGGCUCGAUGGUUACAGUCCAUUGAACCGCGUCUUCCGUCCAUGUCAUGGCGCCAAUUUUGUCAAGCUAUCCAUGAUAGGUUCGGCAGGGAGCAACACGAACUUGUUAUUCGCAAACUCUUCCACAUUAAGCAGACCUCCACAGUCCAAGACUAUGUUGAUCGUUUUUCAGAGUUAGUUGAUUUGUUAGUCACAUAUGAACACACAACAGACCCGUUAUACUAUACCAUGAAAUUCAUUGAUGGGUUGAGGGAUGACAUCAAAUCUGUGAUUCUUGUACAACGUCCUGGCGAUCUCGAUACUGCCUGCUCCUUGGCUUUAUUGCAGGAAGCUGGGGACUCGUCUCGGCGUCCGGAUCCUGUUCAUGGCGAUUCAUCUUAUGCUGGCCGUUCGUCGUGGAAGUCGGCUGUUCCACAGUCUGCUCGCUGGGAUCCAUCGCGCGGUUUGGCUCCAGAAUCCUCCAAAACUCCAACUCAGCCAGCGCCAACAAUUGAUUCCAAAGUGGCUUCUCUUCGUUCAUAUCGGCGUGCCAGUGGAUUAUGCCAGUAUUGUGCUGAAAAGUGGAACAAGGGCCAUAAAUGUUCUCCAACUGUUCAACUACAUGCAGUCCAAGAGAUGUGGGAACUCUUUGAUCAUGACCAGUCAGAUACUGAUCCUGAUUUCCAAGAUUCAUCAGACCAGUUCGCAGUAAUGUUGUCCCAGGCAGCCAUUUCAACCCCAGCCAAGGCCCAAGCAUUCAGACUUCAAGGCUGUUUGCAAGGCGUGGAAUUGUUGAUGCUUCUUGACUCUGGCAGUUCACAUUGUUUUCUGAACACCAACAGCGUUGCGGCAAUCACUGGCCUUACUCUUGUGUCGACUCCGCUAAUGGUCACCGUAGCCAAUGGUGAGGUCCUUACAUGCACUUCAGAGCUGGUGGAAGCAGACUGGACUUUACAGGGUGUCCCGUUUCGCACAACAUUCAAGUUACUGUCCUUACCUCACUAUGACGCAAUCCUUGGUAUGGAUUGGCUACAGCAGUUCAGCCCAAUGUUGAUAGAUUGGAAGAACAAAUGGCUGUCUAUACCAUUUCAAGAUCAGCUUAUUGUCCUGCGUGAUUGUCAGUCAUUGGUUCCUGCUGGUUCGUUGUUGGAAAUCCGUUCCGUGUCCUCGACAUCGACACCACAACAUUUAUUUUCAGCCACGACUUCUGCUGUUCCUGAGCCGGUUCGUUCCUUGCUGCAACAGUUUGAUGCCUUGUUUCAACCUCCUACAACGUUGCCACCGAGCCGUGCAUGUGAUCACUCCAUUCCAUUAGUGGAUGGUGCUCGCCCAGUUAAUAUACGACCUUAUCGGUUGUCCCCUGCACUGAAGGACGAAGUGGAAUCCCAAGUGGCUGAAAUGCUUCAAAAUGGCAUAAUUCAAAACAGUUCCAGUGCCUUUUCCUCGCCUGUCCUCAUGGUCAAGAAAAAGGACAAUUCAUGGAGGUUCUGUGUCGAUUAUAGGCACUUGAAUGCCCUCACAGUUAAAUCUAAGUACCCAGUUCCCAUCAUCGAUGAAUUAUUGGAUGAACUAGCUGGCGCCUGUUGGUUCUCUAUAUUGGAUUUGCGAGCUGGAUUCCAUCAAAUAUUGCUCAAGCCUGGGGAAGAGUACAAAACAGCAUUUCAAACCCACACAGGACACUAUGAAUUCCGGGUCAUGGCAUUCGGUCUCACUGGGGCGCCUGGCACAUUUCAAAAAGCCAUGAAUCAUACUUUGGCUCCUCUUCUUCGUAAAUGCACUAUUGUGUUCUUUGAUGAUAUUUUAGUCUACAGCCGCUCCCUUCAAGACCACUUCACUCACCUACAACAAGUAUUCGAGCUGCUGUCGUCUGAUCACUGGAAGAUUAAAAUGUCUAAGUGCAGUUUCGCUCAGCCCCAAGUAACUUACUUAGGCCACAUUAUCAGCUCAGCCGGUGUCGCUACCGACCCAGCAAAGAUCCAAGCUAUUGUGGCAUGGCCUGUUCCCAAGUGUGUGAAGGAAUUGCGGAGCUUCCUAGGACUCUCUGGAUAUUACAGAAAAUUCAUACGGCAUUACGGCGUGAUCUGCCAACCCCUGACAGCACUGUUAAAAAAGGGCGCUCUGUACGUUUGGACAGCUGAUCAUGAUACUGCAUUCUGCACUCUCAAACAAGCGAUGUCAUCGGCUCCGGUGUUGGCUCUACCAGAUUUUAAUGUCAUAUUUCAGAUUGAAACUGAUGCCAGCGCCAAUGGUGUAGGGGCUGUUCUUUCACAGCAAGGUCACCCUCUGGCAUUCCUGAGUAAGGCCCUUGGAGUUAAAUCUCGUGGUCUCUCGACUUAUGAAAAAGAGUAUCUAGCUGUCCAACAAUGGCGUGCUUACCUUCAACACCAGAAAUUCGUGAUUAUAACUGACCACAAAAGUCUAUCACAAUUAAAUGAGCAACGUCUCCAUACUCCUUGGCAGCACAAAGUGUUCACCAAAUUAUUGGGCCUUCAAUAUAGAGUGCAGUAUCGUCCAGGGACAGAAAACCGGGCAGCUGACGCCCUCUCGCGCUAUGGUCCUGCUGAAAUCAAUGCGGUUUCUGUUGUUAUCCCUCAAUGGCUGACUGAUAUCCAACAGACUUACGAUUCGGACAGCAAGACUAAAGAGUUAGUGGCUAAACUAGCUAUCGAUCCAGCAGCUGUUGCCCACUUCUCACUGAAGGAUGGUCUGAUCCGUUACAAGAACCGUCUUUGGAUAGGCGAGGAUCCCCACCUCCAGGCUAAGAUUGUUUCAGCACUGCAUUCCUCUCCGAUCGGUGGUCACUCUGGUGUGCCGGUUACCUACAGCCGUGUCAAAAGCAUAUUUGCGUGGAAGAAUAUGAAGUCGUUCGUCCGUUCAUUUGUGCAGCAAUGUCAGAUUUGCCUGCAAGCCAAACCUGACAGGGCAGCUUAUCCUGGUAAGCUCCAACCAUUACCUGUUCCACCCUCUGCCUGGCACACCAUCUCCAUGGAUUUCGUGGAAGGGUUACCUCGUUCUGGCUCGUGGGACUGCAUCCUUGUUGUUGUUGACAAGUUCUCCAAAUUUGGCCAUUUUGUUCCAUUAUCUCAUCCAUAUACAGCACACUCUGUUGCGCAGCUGUUCCUAUCUCACAUAUACAGGCUCCAUGGUUUUCCAGCGGCCAUUGUAUCUGACAGAGACCCCAUCUUCACCAGCGCCUUUUGGCGUCAGCUGUUCCAACUGGCUGGUACGGAAUUACGCCUCAGUUCCUCCUAUCACCCCCAGUCAGAUGGUCAGACAGAGCGUCUGAACCAAUGCUUGGAAACGUUCCUGCGAUGCUUUGUCAGCGCGUGUCCUAAAAAGUGGUCCUCUUGGCUGCCAGCAGCUGAAUAUUGGUAUAACACAAGUCUGCAUUCAGCUUUGGGUUGUUCUCCGUUUGAAGUGCUUUAUGGCCGCAAGCCACGUUCCUUGGGUCUUUCUUUUGAUGCUGCUGCCCCAGUUGCCCUGUCAGCCUGGUUACAAGAAAGAUCUGUGAUGCAAAAUCUCAUCCACCAGCACCUUAUUCGCGCCCAAACUCGGAUGAAAAAACAGGCAGAUAAACACCGCUCUGAACGCUCCUUCUCAGUUGGCGAUUGGGUUUACAUGAAGCUCCAACCCUACGUCCAGUCUUCAGUGCUUCCACGUGCCCACCAAAAACUCAGUUACAAGUUCUUUGGCCCUUAUCGAGUGGCCAACAGGGUCGGUUCAGUGGCCUACCGAUUGGAACUCCCAAAUUCCAGCAGGAUUCAUCCCGUCGUUCAUGUCUCCCAACUGAAGCUGGCAAAAGGUUUCUCGGGCUCUGCUACUUCUUCCUUACCGGAUGAACUGCCAGAGUUCAGCAUACCACUCCGUAUUUUGCAGACUCGUGGCUUUGCUAAAGGUAAACGCUUUGUGAAACAGGUUCUGGUGCAGUGGUCCAACCUUCCUACUGAGUUAGCCACAUGGGAAGACCAAGACAACCUGAGGCAAUGUUAUCCUUUUGCUCCUGCUUGGGGGCAAGCAGGAUUCCAAGGGGGGGAAAAUGUCAACAAUGAGAGUAUGGAUUCCCCUACAGUCAGCCGAGGCGUACCAAACGGCGAACCGGAAGCAGCUCCAGUUGUCCGCACACGCCGUGUCUGUCGCGCCAACGUCCGUCAGCAAGGACCAGAGUGGGUGCAGUGAGUCGGCAUAUUGGUGUUGGGUCUGAGCCUGCGUGCUCCCGUGCGUAAGUGGCUGUCUUAAGUACUAGCGUAGCCGAAAGAGACGGUAUGCAUUUUGUAAGGAAAACUUAGUAUCCUGGAAUAGAACUCCUCUGGUUCUCCUAUUCUUCUCCUCCUCCUUCCAGGUUGCUAACAAAUAGCGUGUGGACCGCAACGUAUAACGGAAUUUCACAUGAAGAUGUAGCUGAAAUCUUUUCGAAGGAUGUUGAAGGUAAGAGCCAAUCUCGGCCAUGGGUACGUACGUUUGGUAUCCGUGUGUUUGGUUUCUUAGAUGUACGCGCCCAGGUUCGUGGCAUCCGUUGACCGAGGAAGUGCACCUGUUCGGUUGACUGUGUGAUGGAGCUCUGAACUACACGCGCGAAUACAAAGUAAGCCAUUUUAGGAGACAUGGGUUGCAUGCGCGGAGAUGUGAGUGAGGUCCCGUAUCCCACCAUGCAGGCUUGGAUGGGACUGCACGUCUGCAUCGGAAAACCAAACACAUAGUAUAUGUUCGCAUAAUCUCGCACAGCUACUCCUGCUAUAUAAUUAGGCUUAAAGGUUAGACGAUCAGACAUUAGUUAAGGCUUAAAGCAUGAAAGUUGUGAUCCUAUUGCUUUAGGCUCCAAUCACACUCCCGGUCCCGGGCCCGGCCUACCCGUCCAUAGACACACAAAAAGUAAGAUAGGCCCAUUUAUACAUGAGCUUCGUCGUUAUCCAUAAUCACUUUGCCAGGCAAAAUAGUUAGAGCAGAAACAGAGUAGAGUAACAGAAGAGAGCGCUGAGCGCAUGGCUCCUCGGAGAAAUGCAGUUCGGAUCGAAUACGGACGGUUAUCAAUGAAAUCAUAUUUGUUUUCAUAUUUUUAGUCAGAUUCGAAUUCGAAUACGGAUAGCUUCGAAUACGAAUACAAAUACGGAUGUUCUCGAAUACAAAUACGGAUAGUCGUGGAUCAAAUACGGAGCUAAUCGGACACGGAUAGCGUCGGUAACGAAUAUUUUUGUCGGAUAUCGUGUAAGACAUCAUUCCACACAUAUCAUAGUUGUAAUCAUUUAGCCCCUCCUUUAGUCCAAACAUUUUUUAGGAUUAUAUGUGCACAUAUGCUACACCUCCAUAAAAAUCCAUGAAUUUCUAAGGCUAUUUUGAGUAUUAAUAAUUUCUUUAUGUAGAAAAUCAUUAAAAUGCAAUUAAAUUCAUAAAAUAUUGAUGUCGGCGUUUCGACCCCGGGGGUCCCUGGACCGACGAGUAAAUUGUCGUUGCGUGUCCCAGCCCAGAUGAGUCGGCGCGAGACGGGACACAAAGGGGGGAGAACAGUAAGGGGAACCCGCGGCCUUCGUGUUGUCCUGCGCCCAGGGCGGAUGGAUGCGCUUGCAGUAGGGGGUUACAAGCGUUCGCGUGGGAGAGAGCGAGAGCGAGAGCCUUAUGCGUCGGCCCGUUCUCCCGCGCGGCCAACCUUUUCGUACGAGAGCCCUGGACCUUCCUUUUAUAGGCGUAAGGAGAGGGUCCAGGUGUACAAUGGGGGUGUAGCAGUGUGCUAACGUGUCUAGCAGAGAGGAGCUAGAGCCAUAAGCACAUGCCGUCGUGGCAGUCGGAGAGGUUUUGGCACCCUGUUCAUGUGAUGUCGUGGCCGUCGGAGGAGCGCUUGGGCCCUGUGGAAGGACAGCUGUCGGGGCUGUCGAAUUCUUGCUGACGUCUCCUUGCUUCCGUAAUGGGUUGAGAGCCACCGUCAUCAUGGAGCACACGGGGCGCCAUCAAUAUUUGUUUACCGGGGCGAGCCAGAUGGGACGCCGGUCUUGUUCCCCGUAGCCUGAGCUAGCUAGGGGUAGGGUAAUGAUGGCCCCCUGUGACGUGGUCGGUCCGAGCCCGAGUUUGGGCGAGGUGGCGAUCCCUCUAAGGUCGAGGUUGAGUCCGAGCCCUGGGGUCGGGCGAGGCGGAGUUCAUCGUCUUCCGGGGCCGAGGCUGAGUCCGAGCCCUAGGGUCGGGCGAGGCGGAG